UCAGGAUGAACGCUGGCGGCGUGCUUAACACAUGCAAGUCGAACGAAGCAACUAUCUUGCUGCAAGAGAGUGACUAGUGGCGGACGGGUGAGUAACGCGUGGGAACCUGCCUCAUACAGGGGGAUAACAGUUGGAAACGACUGCUAAGACCGCAUAACCCGCUAGUGUCGCAUGACACGGACGGAAAAUAUUUAUAGGUAUGAGAUGGGCCCGCGUCUGAUUAGCUAGUUGGUAAGGUAACGGCUUACCAAGGCGACGAUCAGUAGCCGACUUGAGAGAGUGAUCGGCCACAUUGGGACUGAGACACGGCCCAAACUCCUACGGGAGGCAGUAGUGGGGAAUAUUGGACAAUGGGGGAAACCCUGAUCCAGCGAACCGCCGCGUGAGUGAAGAAGUAUUUCGGUAUGUAAAGCUCUAUCAGCAGGGAAGAUAAUGACAGUACCUGACUAAGAAGCCCCGGCUAACUACGUGCCAGCAGCCGC
rnacentral:rRNA from 1 species